rnacentral:rRNA from 1 species
UACAGAGGGUGCGAGCGUUAAUCGGAAUUACUGGGCGUAAAGGGUGCGUAGGCGGCGCGGUAAGUCGGGUGUGAAAUCUCGGGGCUUAACUCCGAAACUGCAUUCGAUACUGCCGUGCUUGAGGACUGGAGAGGAGACUGGAAUUUACGGUGUAGCGGUGAAAUGCGUAGAUAUCGUAAGGAAGACCAGUGGCGAAGGCGGGUCUCUGGACAGUUCCUGACGCUGAGGCACGAAGGCCAGGGGAGCAAACGGG